rfam:Aspergillus calidoustus genome assembly, contig: SCAF2
UCCGAUAUGGUGUAACGGCUAACAUCAUCGCCUUUCAUGUGAACGCGAUAGCUCGGGGUUCGAUUCCCCGUAUCGGAG